UACGGAGGGUCCAAGCGUUGUCCGGAAUCACUGGGUGUAAAGGGUGCGUAGGCGGGCUAGUAAGUCAGGGGUGAAAGCCCGCGGCUCAACCGCGGAACUGCCCUUGAUACUGCAAGUCUUGAGUCCUGGAGGGGCUGGCGGAAUUCGUGGUGUAGCGGUGAAAUGCUUAGAUAUCGUCAAGAACACCGAUAGUGUAGACAGCUUACUAGACUUCAACUGACGCUGAGGCACGAAAGUGUGGGGAUCAAACAGG
rnacentral:rRNA from 1 species